GAAAUGGUAGGGGUGCAAACACCGGGCUUAAGGAUUUUUCUCUUUUCCACUGUGUUCUCCAGCUAUCAAGAGCCUUAUCCUAGCACACAAGCUGUCCUUGCCCGUCUAAUGUAUUAUUUCCAUAACAUAUUUCUUGAUUCUAAAUAUUUGAGAGAGGAGGUUUUAUUUUCUCCUUGUCUCCUUGCCUUUUUUUUUUUUUUUUUUUUUUUCCUUUUUUAAGCCACUCGACUCUCCACGGGGUUUACUCAGAGCCAUAGCGUUUCAUAAACCAGAAUGGAUUUAAACUUUAUUGCCCCUCAGUUUUAUUGCUUCUGCUGGGUGACAGUGUAAAUAUUCCUGGGGUUGUUAAUGUUCCCUAAUGUGAACGGGGAGUAGAGGUCUAUGAACAAAUGGUUUGCUGCUAACGGGUUGGAAAAUGCGAUUUUUAGAUCUUUCACUGAAACUCAACAUGACAGCACCUUGCGUUUGGAUAUCGGGCGAUAUUUCUCAAGGCUUCGCUUGCCAUGCAUCACCUUACUGACCCUGACGGUAGCUCGGUGAACUUGAAGAGCAGACAUGGAAGCAAAGACCCACGAAGGACAAGUUUCGCACGUAAUGUUGGAACCAUUGUUACUGCCUUGAUUUUAGGUGUCUCCUGGGGAGCUUCCCUUACGUCUAGGAGCCUGCCAUACCCCUGCUCACCCCCUGGCCGUUUGCACGGGACCCGAGCUGUUGUGACACCACCCUCCCCUGGGAGCACUCUUGGCCCAGUGAGGCCUGGCCCACCGGCAGACCUGCGGCUCUCUUCUCCUUGUUUUCCUUCACCUUAUUCUAGAAGUUACACAGUACCUGUUGCUCUGUAACUAGCCCGUUGCCACGUAACAGACGGUGGGGGGUGACGAGGUCUAGAAAUAACUCCCCUCCCUUCCAAACAGGCAGAAAUCGUGGUGUCAGUUUAUUGCCAGUGAAAGCGAGGCCAGGGGAUGUGGCUUUUGUAUCGGACCCACCCAGUUGUUGCGUGGGCCCGCGGAGGGACACGCUUCCCCAGGGUUGCUGCCUCCUUCUGGGAAGAGAAGGAGGAAAG
rnacentral:lncRNA from 1 species